AAGGCUCAUUAAAACAGUUAUAGUUUAUUUGGUGGUCAGCAAUUACAUGGAUAACCGUGGUAAUUCUAGAGCUAAUACAUGCGCCCAAACCCGACUUCGUGGAAGGGUUGUGUUUAUUAGAUACAGAACCAACCCAGGCUCCGCCUGGCCUUGAGGUGAUUCAUAAUAACCGAACGAAUCGCAUGGCUAUGCCGGCGAUAGACCAUUCAAGUUUCUGACCUAUCAGCUAUCGUCGGUAGGGUAUUGGCCUACCGUGGCAAUGACGGGUAACGGAGAAUUAGGGUUCGAUUCCGGAGAGGGAGCCUGAGAAACGGCUACCACAUCUAAGGAAGGCAGCAGGCGCGUAAAUUACCCAUUUCUGACACAGGGAGGUAGUGACAAGAAAUAACAUUAGAGGGCAUCCAUGUCUUCUAAAUGGAAUGAGUAGAAUUUAAACCCUUUUGCUAGUAUCAAUUGGAGGGCAAGUCUGG
rnacentral:rRNA from 1 species